rnacentral:rRNA from 1 species
CCUACGGGCGGCAGCAGUGGGGAAUAUUGCACAAUGGGGGAAACCCUGAUGCAGCGACGCCGCGUGAGUGAAGAAGGAUUUCGGAAUGUAAAGCUCUAUCAGCAGGGAAGAAAAUGACGGUACCUGAGUAAGAAGGCCCGUCUAACUACGUGCCAGCAGCCGCGGUAAUACGGAGGGGGCAAGCGUUAUCCGGAUUUACUGGGUGUAAAGGGAGCGUAGACGGCAGCACAAGUCUGGAGUGAAAUGCCGGGGCUUAACCCCGGAACUGCGUUUGAAACUGUGCAGCUAGAGUGCAGGAGAGGUAAGUGGAAUUCCUAGUGUAGCGGUGACAUUCGUAGAUAUUAGG